rnacentral:rRNA from 1 species
CCUACGGGGGGCAGCAGUGAGGAAUAUUGGUCAAUGGACGAGAGUCUGAACCAGCCAAGUAGCGUGAAGGAUGACUGCCCUAUGGGUUGUAAACUUCUUUUAUAUGGGAAUAAAAUGUUCCACGUGUGGGAUUUUGUAUGUACCAUAUGAAUAAGGAUCGGCUAACUCCGUGCCAGCAGCCGCGGUAAUACGGAGGAUCCGAGCGUUAUCCGGAUUUAUUGGGGUUAAAGGGAACGUAGGUGGAUUGUUAAGUCAGUUGUGAAAGUUUGCGGCUCAACCGUAAAAUUGCACUUGAAACUGGCAGUCUUGAGUACAGUAGAGGUGGGCGGAAUUCGUGGUGUAGCGGUGAAAUGCUUAGAUAUCACGAAGAACUCCGAUUGCGAAGGCAGCUCACUGGACUGCAACUGACACUGAGGCUCGAAAGUGUGGGUAGCAAACAGGAUUAGAUACCCGAGUAGUC